UCGAGUUUUUGAAAAAGGUUGUAGCUGGCCUCUCUUGAGGAAUUGUGCACACCUGGAUCAUCAUGUAACAACCAUUUAAUACUUUUCUUACCCUUGUGCACAACCUGUAGCUUAACCAUUUGAACAAAAUUGGUUGAGUUAUGAAUGCUUUCAAUUUACACAUUGUAAAGUUUUGGGGUCAUAUCAGAAUAAUAUAUAA
rnacentral:misc_RNA from 1 species